rnacentral:rRNA from 1 species
AGUGAACGCUGGCGGUAGGCCUAACACAUGCAAGUCGAACGGCAGCACAGUAAGAGCUUGCUCUUACGGGUGGCGAGUGGCGGACGGGUGAGGAAUACAUCGGAAUCUACUUUUUCGUGGGGGAUAACGUGGGGAAACUUACGCUAAUACCGCAUACGACCUACGGGUGAAAGCAGGGGAUCUUCGGACCUUGCGCGAUUGAAUGAGCCGAUGUCGGAUUAGCUAGUUGGCGGGGUAAAGGCCCACCAAGGCGACGAUCCGUAGCUGGUCUGAGAGGAUGAUCAGCCACACUGGAACUGAGACACGGUCCAGACUCCUACGGGAGGCAGCAGUGGGGAAUAUUGGACAAUGGGCGCAAGCCUGAUCCAGCCAUACCGCGUGGGUGAAGAAGGCCUUCGGGUUGUAAAGCCCUUUUGUUGGGAAAGAAAAGCAGCAGGUUAAUACCCCGCUGUUCUGACGGUACCCAAAGAAUAAGCAGCGGCUAACUUCGUG